rnacentral:rRNA from 1 species
CUGGCGGCGUGCCUAAUACAUGCAAGUCGAACGGUCUUUCUAUGGAAGCUUGCUUCCACUGAGAAGAUAGUGGCGAACGGGUGAGUAACACGUGGGUAACCUGCCCAUAAGAGGGGGGAUAACAUCCGGAAACGGGUGCUAAUACCGCAUAGUUUCUUGAUCGCAUGAUCGGGAAAGGAAAGACGGCCUUUGUGCUGUCGCUUAUGGAUGGACCCGCGGCGUAUUAGUUAGUUGGUGAGGUAACGGCUCACCAAGACGAUGAUACGUAGCCGACCUGAGAGGGUGAUCGGCCACAUUGGGACUGAGACACGGCCCAAACUCCUACGGGAGGCAGCAGUAGGGAAUCUUCCGCAAUGGACGAAAGUCUGACGGAGCAACGCCGCGUGAGUGAAGAAAGGUUUUCGGAUCGUAAAACUCUGUUGUCAGAGAAGAACAAGUUGGAGAGUAACUGCUCCAGCCUUGACGGUAUCUGACCAGAAAGCCACGGCUAACUACGUGCCAGCCGCCGC